rnacentral:lncRNA from 1 species
UUUCGGUUUUUAUGGUGGUCGGGACUCAAAGUCAGAAUGAUCAUUCUGAUGAUCCUUCCGAUGAUCAGUAUUCUGAUGAUCAUUCCGAUGAUCAGUAUUCUGAUCAUCAUGAUGUGGAUAUGAACACGACUGAGUGUUCAAAGAAAAAAAACAAUAGAAACGAUAAAGCAAUCGUCAUAUUCGAAGACGAUGAAAUUGUCUACGAUAAAGCCGCAGAAAAAUUAAAAAACGUAAGCUGCUUUUAAGUUGGUUUGUAGUUCCCCUAGUAGUUGGUCCCGUUGUUUCAAUAGAACAUCCACCGCCUCUACAUUGGAAUUCCCCGCUCUAUAAUCAAUGAUUGCCGGAGGAGCUCUCCCGUAUAGUGUUUGAAAUGGAGAGGUUCCUAGACUGUGAUGAUAGGCGGUGUUGUACCAAAGUUCUGCCCAUGGCAGCAGCUCGAUCCAACUCCGUUGAUUGUCUUGGAUUGUUGCCUGUAAGUAUUGUUCAAUUGUUU